UGGAUCCAGACUUUGAUCCUGGCUCAGGAUGAACGCUAGCUACAGGCUUAACACAUGCAAGUCGAGGGGCAUCAGGAAGAAAGCUUGCUUUCUUUGCUGGCGACCGGCGCACGGGUGAGUAACACGUAUCCAACCUGCCCUUUACUAGGGGAUAGCCUUUCGAAAGAAAGAUUAAUACCCGAUAGCAUAAUGAUUCCGCAUGGUUUCAUUAUUAAAGGAUUCCGGUAAAGGAUGGGGAUGCGUUCCAUUAGGUUGUUGGUGAGGUAACGGCUCACCAAGCCUUCGAUGGAUAGGGGUUCUGAGAGGAAGGUCCCCCACAUUGGAACUGAGACACGGUCCAAACUCCUACGGGAGGCAGCAGUGAGGAAUAUUGGUCAAUGGGCGCUAGCCUGAACCAGCCAAGUAGCGUGAAGGAUGAAGGCUCUAUGGGUCGUAAACUUCUUUUAUAUAAGAAUAAAGUGCAGUAUGUAUACUGUUUUGUAUGUAUUAUAUGAAUAAGGAUCGGCUAACUCCGUGCCAGCAGCCGCGGUAAUACGGAGGAUCCGAGCGUUAUCCGGAUUUAUUGGGUUUAAAGGGAGCGUAGGUGGACUGGUAAGUCAGUUGUGAAAGUUUGCGGCUCAACCGUAAAAUUGCAGUUGAUACUGUCAGUCUUGAGUACAGUAGAGGUGGGCGGAAUUCGUGGUGUAGCGGUGAAAUGCUUAGAUAUCACGAAGAACUCCGAUUGCGAAGGCAGCUCACUGGACUGCAACUGACACUGAUGCUCGAAAGUGUGGGUAUCAAACAGGAUUAGAUACCCUGGUAGUCCACACAGUAAACGAUGAAUACUCGCUGUUUGCGAUAUACAGUAAGCGGCCAAGCGAAAGCAUUAAGUAUUCCACCUGGGGAGUACGCCGGCAACGGUGCAACUCAAAGGAAUUGACGGGA
rnacentral:rRNA from 1 species